rfam:Ixodes scapularis strain Wikel colony gcontig_1107728905652, whole genome shotgun sequence.
CUCUGGUUAGCUCAGUUGGUAGAGCGCUCCACUGGAAAUGAAUCUGGUCCCGGGUUUGAUACCCAGACCAGGCG